AAAUUGAAGAGUUUGAUCAUGGCUCAGAUUGAACGCUGGCGGCAGGCCUAACACAUGCAAGUCGAACGGUAACAGGAAGCAGCUUGCUGCUUCGCUGACGAGUGGCGGACGGGUGAGUAAUGUCUGGGAAACUGCCUGAUGGAGGGGGAUAACUACUGGAAACGGUGGCUAAUACCGCAUAACGUCGCAAGACCAAAGAGGGGGACCUUCGGGCCUCUUACCAUCAGAUGUGCCCAGAUGG
rnacentral:rRNA from 1 species